rnacentral:sRNA from 1 species
AAUUAUCUCCUUUGCUAAGUUGUUGAUAAUAGGUUUUUAGUCAAUUAUCGUAAAACACCAAUCCUGUCGUUGUAGUAUUUUAGGUUGUCAAUCCAAAUGGGUGUGAUGCUAACAAUCAAGAUGUGAUCAGAAGUCACUAAGUCAAGCCAAGCAAUAACAGGUUUUGGGGUGUUCUAACAGUCCUAAGUGAACAUGCAGGAAACAGAAAUUUAAGCAGAAAAAAUAAAACACUCGACCAACACAGCUCGUUGCAGAGCAUAGGGUGU